GCCACUGCACCCAGCCAGAAACUGUUUAAAAUCCUCCGAGAGCAGUGUGGGAUUGAAGGAGGCGGUCAAGAAGGACCUCCUUUACACAAAAACAUGUAUUUGAGCUUUUUACUGAGAUUUUAUCAUUUUUAGUUUUUUUAAUUUAUUUUUUUCUUAUGCAAACCUAGCAGUAGAUUUUGUCCUUUUAAUACUUGUAUAACUAACAACAAAAAUUUUACCAAAAGGCAGUGCUGUUGCUGAGCCUGUGGAUCCUUGGAGCUGUUUUUUUCAUUGCUUCCCAAGCCCAACAUAGGGAGAGGGGAUGUGGCAGGCCAGGUUUCACUAAUACAGGCCUCCAUAACAACUGUUUCAGUACUGAUAGAGUGGUUAAGUUAAAUAUUAAAAGCCAGUGCCCUUAUACAAAGGCCAGAAUGUAACAAAAGCCCACCAAGAGUUUUGCCUAGGCCUUUCCUGAACCUCAAAGCAUGAUUAAACAAGUUUUAUUGGGGGUCUGAAGAAACUCCCCAGGCCUCCACAAAUGAGUUUAUUGGGAUUCUGAAGGAACUCCCCAAACCUCUGUGAUUUAGCAGGAGAUAAGAGAAGGGUAAUCACCCCAGCACCUGGACCCAUUUAGAUUAAGUAAACUUACUGAGGCUCCAGAAGAAGGUCUUCAAGACUCAGACCUUAGUUAUAGAUUAAAAGAAGUUAAUCACUUAUGUCUUUAGAUGAAUGCACACCUACACAUAGACAUAGAGCUUAGAAGUUCAUCUGCAUCUCGUUACUGGGCCUCAAGAAAUAGCAGCCCAACCUUCAGUUUGACCUGGGAACAAAACGUGGCAAGCCAGCCAGGAGAGACCGGGAUGGUGCUGUGUUCAGCCACCAGUGGCUUGCGAUGAGACAGUCUUCAGGAGGGUCCAAGCAGCUGCCCGUGAGAUUUUUCCUGGGGACCCUCCCGAGGGCUGUCCCGUGUGCAAAACUGCACGUCCCUUUCACUACUGGGGAAGAACAGAGAUCAGAAGCAGACACGCUCAAAGGCAGGUGCUGCCUCCAAGGCCCCGAAACAGAGAGUGCUACUGCGAACAAAUCAACCUCUUCCACUCCACUGCUGCUUUUGGUGCCCCAUAACGACGACCCCCUCUCAGCAGGAAGUAGCCAGAAAGAUUACGACUCCCCAUCUCCCUGCGAUUCUCAUGAUAAAUAAAUAUCCAUGCAUGAUAAAAAUCGUGUAAAUUGACAGUGGGGACUGUGACAAGCAGGUCUCACUAAUGCAGACCUCCAUAACAACUGUUUCAGUACUGACUGAGUGGUUAAGUUAAAUGUUAAAAACCAGUGCCCUUAUACAAAGGCUGGAAUGUAACAAAAGCCCACCAAGAGUUUUGCCUAGGCCUUUCCUGAACCUCAAAGCAUGAUUAAACAAGUUUUGCUGGGGGUCUGAAGAAACUCCCCAAACCUCCGUUAUUUAGCAGGAGAUAAGAGAAGGGUAAUCACCCCAGCACUUGGACCCAUUUAGAUUAAGUAAACUUACUGAGGCUCCAGAAGAAGGUCUUCAAGACUCAGACCUUAGUUAUAGAUUAAAAGAAGUUAAUCACUUAUGUCUUUAGAUGAAUGCACACCUACACAUAGAUGUAGAGCUUAGAAGGUAUAUAUGCUCUGGAAAUUGUAAUUUUUAGUUGGCCUGGUGAUAAUUUCCAGGCCUUCUCCCUGUAACUGGUUACAGAAAUAAAAACUCACUUCCUCCCCAGUUCAUCUGCAUCUCGUUAUUGGGCCAUGAGAAAUAGCAGCCCCAACCCUCAGUUUGGUCUGGGAAUAGUGGGAGGUAUGAAAAUACAGACCCCCAGGGGUAUACAGCUCUCUGAGGCUCAUCCUCACAGUUGGA
rnacentral:lncRNA from 1 species